rnacentral:rRNA from 1 species
UUGCACAGGUGCUGCAUGGCUGUCGUCAGCUCGUGUCGUGAGAUGUUCGGUUAAGUCCGCUAACGAGCGCAACCCUCGCUGUGUGUUAUAUGUGUCACACGGGACUGCCGGUCUUAAGCCGGAGGAAGGUGGGGAUGAUGUCAAGUCAGCAUGGCCUUUAUGUCCAGGGCUACACACGUGCUACAAUGGUUGGUACAAAGGGUUGCCAAGCCGUGAGGCGGAGCCAAUCUCAAAAAGCCAACCUCAGUUCGGAUUGCAGUCUGCAACUCGACUGCAUGAAGUUGGAAUCGCUAGUAAUCGCUGAUCAGCAGGCAGCGGUGAAUACGUUCCCGGGCCUU